ACGGUUCGGGUUUUGCAGUCAAACCAGCUGCUACCAGACGAUGAGAUAAAGAGUUGAGCGCCGGCUGCCCACGGUGAUGCGGCGAGCAUGCGUGGAUCGCCCGGCUUGGAAUUUUCGCCUUAAAGGGCGCACCGUCAGUGUCAGUCAAGAAGCCAGAUUCGCCUCUGAAGUUUCUGUACGAUUUGAUUGUAGCGCACCGAAUUGUGAAGACAAUGGUGCCGUAAUUGAGAAGAGAAUGUUCGAUCUGCACGAUCAGUGGGAAAAUUGACAGAAACAGGAAGAGCACAAGAUGCCGACAGUCCCCGGGAAUCGUCGUUCACCACAACUAAUUGGGAGGCAGGAAUACUGCGGAAGCUCCAAGCAUCGAUCUGUCACACAGCUCAGGCAUGCGUGCGCUUCCCGCACUUACCACCAUUAUAAGCACGAACACUGACAAAAUUGGAUUACUUAGUGGUUGAGGGCACAAGUUGUCUUGUUAGCCACAGUUUAUUGUCCCAUAGGAAUAGGAUAUAUAUUCUCUGGAUCUACCUUACCUACAUAUACUGUAGAAGUAGUACAUAUAUUAUGACCCUAACUGCCCCAUUAGUUAAUUCCAUAAUUAUCGUCCCCGAUACCCUUCAGCUGACUAAGCAGUGACGCGAGAGAUCUACAAGGUGCGCACACGCUCAUGGCCUGGAUUUCAUUUUUAGACCACAGAUGAUGAAACUUGCAUGAUGAGAAACUGUGAACACACGAUGUGAAUAAAAUGCAAUGCCGGCUUACUGCUUGCAGUUCCAGGUACGGUACUCACCCUACUGACGUCGCCAGCACGAAGGUGAUCGCCGGUAUCAGGUUCGUCAUGGCCGUCGCCAUGGACGAUGA